CCUACGGGUGGCUGCAGUGGGGAAUAUUGCACAAUGGGCGCAAGCCUGAUGCAGCCAUGCCGCGUGUGUGAAGAAGGCCUUCGGGUCGUAAAGCACUUUCAGCGGGGAGGAAGGCGUUAAGGUUAAUAACCUUGUCGAUUGACGUUACCCGCAGAAGAAGCACCGGCUAACUCCGUGCCAGCAGCCGCGGUAAUACGGAGGGUGCAAGCGUUAAUCGGAAUUACUGGGCGUAAAGCGCACGCAGGCGGUCUGUCAAGUCGGAUGUGAAAUCCCCGGGCUCAACCUGGGAACUGCAUUCGAAACUGGCAGGCUAGAGUAUUGUAGAGGGGGGUAGAAUUCCAGGUGUAGCGGUGAAAUGCGUAGAGAUCUGGAGGAAUACCGGUGGCGAAGGCGGCCACCUGGACAAAGACUGACGCUCAGGUGCGAAAGCAUGGGGAGCAAACAGGAUUAGAUACCCUUGUAGUC
rnacentral:rRNA from 1 species